UGCCUAAUACUGCAAGUCGAGCGGACCGACGGGAGCUUGCUCCCUUAGGUCAGCGGCGGACGCCUGAGUAACACGUGGGUAACCUGCCUGUAAGACUGGGAUAACUCCGGGAAACCGGGGCUAAUACCGGAUGCUUGAUUGAACCGCAUGGUUCAAUCAUAAAAGGCGGCUUCGGCUGCCGUUUACAGAUGGACCCGCGGCGCAUUAGCUAGUUGGUGAGGUAACGGCUCACCAAGGCGACGAUGCGUAGCCGACCUGAGAGGGUGAUCGGCCACACUGGGACUGAGACACGGCCCAGACUCCUACGGGAGGCAGCAGUAGGGAAUCUUCCGCAAUGGACGAAAGUCUGACGGAGCAACGCCGCGUGAGUGAUGAAGGUUUUCGGAUCGUAAAGCUCUGUUGUUAGGGAAGAACAAGUACCGUUCGAAUAGGGCGGUACCUUGACGGUACCUAACCAGAAAGCCACGGCUAACUACGUGCCAGCAGCCGCGGUAAUACGUAGGUGGCAAGCGUUGUCCGGAAUUAUUGGGCGUAAAGCGCGCGCAGGCGGUUUCUUAAGUCUGAUGUGAAAGCCCCCGGCUCAACCGGGGAGGGUCAUUGGAAACUGGGGAACUUGAGUGCAGAAGAGGAGAGU
rnacentral:rRNA from 1 species